CAAAAUAUCAUUUUCAAUGUCCAUAACACUUCCUCAAUCGACCAUUCAGUUUCCACUCUCCAGCUCCACUCUAGUUUGUCCCAACCUAGAGCAUUAGUCCCGAAAUCUUACAAAAUUAAUGACCGGCAACGAUUGAGAUGACUGAGCAAGUGGCGACCGACCGAAAGGAACACAUGAGACUAUGUGACAACAACUGAAAGGACGAAUGAUUGACGGACGACGAGGAGAGAUGAAAUCCGACCGACGGAGCCCAAGAGACGAAUCGAGAGGAUGAACGACCGACCUACUACGAUUUGAGACAAUAUCUGACUGAGAAUUGAGCAGAAACUGUUGUUGGAAAUGAUCUUAAAGAAUUGUGGGGACAUUGUCCAUAUGCAUGUGGCAGAGAGAGAUGUUCUUCAUGAGAUGGUUAAAAUAGUAAAGAAAUAGCCUGACUUUCAUGUCAAGGAGAAGAUACUGAUUCUAAUAGAUACUUGGCAAGAAGCUUUUGGAGGACCGAGGGCAAGAUAUCCACAAUAUUUUGCAGCAUACCAGGAGUUGUUGGUAUGUUUCUGGUGGAUGGUUUUUUAAGUGAUUAAUUAGUGGAGAAAAAACCUAUGUGAUGAGACAUGGCACUGCCGUUUAUUCAUCUUUUCAUGCAUUUUCUACAUAGAUUGAUUUCAUUGUACAUUUCUAUACUGAUUCUGAGAAUAUUUGAAAUGGUGGUAAUCACCAAGAGGCAGCUGAGUCUUCUGCAGAUUCUGAGUUCCCAACUUUGAGGUACUUCUCUUGGCUGGUUUUUAAUGGAAGCUAAUUUAGUGGUACUUAAUGCCAUGAGCAUAGCCAUUUGUUUGAUACUUGUGCUGUUUUUUUAAGCUGCCUGUGAGAAUAUGAUGUUAGAAUUUGUUAUGCACACACACUUAAUUGGUGCAGUAGUUCAUUGUUAUUGUGAUUUCAUUUCAGUGGUCAAUCCUCUCUGCUUAUGGCUCUAUUAUUUUUUUAUUUUUUGUCAUGUCUUUCUUCUGAGUACUGGAGCACUAACUUCACCUGAUGAUUUGGGUAUUGCAAAAAUAAGAAUGAGUAUUGACUAUUUGCUUUAUUUUAAUUUUUAAUGUUUGUGUUGCAUUUACUACUUCCUUUCCUAUCUUCUGUGGUAAAAUUAGUAAUCAUGUUUCAUAAUUUAGCUAGAAUUUGACUAGCCUGACAAAAAUUCAGAUUGCACGUGGCAUUAUGGAUGUCCUUUUCGAAAUGCUGAAUGCAUUAGAUCAAAGCAACAAAGAGUUACUAUUCAAACACUAUUUGAAUGGACACUUUGCUACUAAAUCUUGGUGCGAGUUGGAUAAUUAAUUGAUAUGUAAUGCUCAAACUUAUGAAAUUUAGAUAAGUUUUAAGAUCUUACAUGGGCUUAAGCAGGAGGUGAUUGUUGACUUGGUGGAACAGUGUCGAACAUCUUGCUAAUUCAAUUAAGUCAUAGUUUUUCACCCACUUGUAUGUGUUUCUUAUAUAGUGAUGACUCAAAUCUUUUACUGUUUCCCUGUUUCAAUAUCAUGCUGUUAUAUUGCUAUUUUUAUGUCAAGUUUCAGCACUGCUAUGUCAGCAUAUAUACUUCUGCGGUAAAUUUUUAUCUAUUUCUUUCAGAGAUGAGUCACUGCUAUGUCAAGAAUUUCUUGCAUAACAGUCAAUGGGUAUCAAUGUUGUUUUGCGUGU